rnacentral:rRNA from 1 species
UACAGAGGGUGCGAGCGUUAAUCGGAAUUACUGGGCGUAAAGCGCACGUAGGCGGCUUGGUAUGUCGGGUGUGAAAUCCCCGGGCUCAACCUGGGAACUGCAUCCGAAACUGCCUUGCUAGAGUAUGGGAGAGGGAAGUGGAAUUUCCGGUGUAGCGGUGAAAUGCGUAGAUAUCGGAAGGAACAUCAGUGGCGAAGGCGACUUCCUGGACCAAUACUGACGCGCAGGUGCGAAAGCGUGGGGAGCAAACAGG